CAGGGCGAAUGUCUUGUAAUUGGAAUGAUGGUGACCCAAACCCUCACCAGAGUAGCAAUUGGAGGGCAAGUCUGGUGCCAGCAGCCGCGGUAAUUCCAGCUCCAAUAGCGUAUAUUAAACUUGUUGCAGUUAAAAAGCUCGUAGUUGUAUUUUUGCGUUGACGGUUUGACCAUUUGGUUGGUUAUUUCGUUUUCGCUUUUGGGAAUUUCCCUUUUUACUUUGAGAAAAUUAGAGUGUUUCAAGCAGACUUUUGUCUUGAAUACUUCAGCAUGGAAUAAUAGAGUAGGACUUUGGUUCUAUUUUGUUGGUUAUUGAGCCUUAGUAAUGGUUAAUAGGAACGGUUGGGGGCAUUCGUAUUUAACUGUCAGAGGUGAAAUUCUUAGAUUUGUUAAAGACGAACUACUGCGAAAGCAUUUGCCAAGGACGUUUCCAUUAAUCAAGAACGAAAGUUAGGGGAUCGAAGA
rnacentral:rRNA from 1 species